rnacentral:rRNA from 1 species
UACGUAGGGUGCGAGCGUUAAUCGGAAUUACUGGGCGUAAAGCGUGCGCAGGCGGUCUGCUAAGACAGGUGUGAAAUCCCUGGGCUCAACCUAGGAAUUGCGCUUGUGACUGGCGGGCUAGAGUACGGUAGAGGGGGGUGGAAUUCCUGGUGUAGCAGUGAAAUGCGUAGAGAUCAGGAGGAACACCGAUGGCGAAGGCAGCCCCCUGGGCCUGUACUGACGCUCAGGCACGAAAGCGUGGGGAGCAAACAGG